CCGUUCGUCUUAUUUGAAAAAUAAUUAUGAUUAGUAUUUUUAUUGUUAUUAGAUGAUAAUACAUAAAUAGUAUUUUAUGUGUGACUAAUAUUUUUAUUUUUUUUAUAAAAUUUUUAAAUAAGACGGANNN
rnacentral:pre_miRNA from 1 species